CGAGACCUCAGUCAGGCGGGA
rnacentral:rRNA from 1 species